UCCCUGGUGGCUCAGAUGGUAAAGCGUCUGCCUAUAAUGUGGGAGACCCAGGUUCGAUCCCUGGGUCGGGAA
rnacentral:tRNA from 1 species